GCAUCGAUGGUUCAGUGGUAAAAUGCUCCACGCGGUAGGUCCGGGUUCGAUUCCCGGCCGAUGCA